UCGAGUAACAAGGCUUCGAGCUCAUCACGUGACGUUUUUCCUCCACACACUUGUCAACCCUCGUUUGCCGUGCGUGGGCGUAUCGUUGUGUGCGGUACGUGCCAGACAUGAGGGCCAAGUGGCGUAAGAAGCGGAUGCGAAGGUUGAAGCGCAAGCGCAGGAAGAUGCGUGAGAGGUCCAAGUAGACCGGACCCACGAGUGGCGGAGACAAGCCUGGCUGACGGGAGAGAUGCCACAAGACGGCGACCUCGACUUCCUGCCCGGACUGUACCACCACCCGGCCACUGCAUCGGACGGUGCCCUUGCACUUACAUGACGGACCCCAAGCUCUCGAUGUGCGCAAGGAGACACCCCCGGACAUUGGAUCAUCGUUCGUUCACCUCCAUUAAAAGCUCAUCCCACAAUGA